UUCCGGUUGAUCCCGCCGGACCCGACUGCUAUCAGAGUGGGACUAAGCCAUGCGAGUCGACGUAGCAAUGCGUGGCGAACGGCUCAGUAACACGUAGUCAACAUGCCCAGGGGACGUGGAUAACCUCGGGAAACUGAGAAUAAACCACGAUAGGUCAUGAUUUCUGGAAUGGAUCAUGGCCCAAAUCUACAUGGCCCCUGGAUUGGACUGCGGCCGAUCAGGCAGUUGGUGAGGUAAAGGCCCACCAAACCUAUAACCGGUACGGGCUCUGAGAGGAGAAGCCCGGAGAUGGGCACUGAGACAAGGGCCCAGGCCCUAUGGGGCGCAGCAGGCGCGAAACCUCUGCAAUAGGCGAAAGCCUGACAGGGUUACUCUGAGUGAUUUCCGCUAAGGGGAUCUUUUGGCACCUCUAAAAAUGGUGCAGAAUAAGGGGUGGGCAAGUCUGGUGUCAGCCGCCGCGGUAAUACCAGCACCCCGAGUGGUCGGGACGAUUAUUGGGCCUAAAGCAUCCGUAGCCGGUUCUGCAAGUCUUCCGUUAAAUCCAGCCGCUCAACGGAUGGGCCGCGGAGGAUACUACAGGACUAGGAGGCGGGAGAGGCAAGCGGUACUCAGUGGGUAGGGGUAAAAUCCUUUGAUCCAUUGAAGACCACCAGUGGCGAAGGCGGCUUGCCAGAACGCGCUCGACGGUGAGGGAUGAAAGCUGGGGGAGCAAACCGGAUUAGAUACCCGGGUAGUCCCAGCUGUAAACGAUGCAGACUCGGUGAUGGGCUAGCCUUGUGCCAGCCCAGUGCCGCAGGGGAGCCGUUAAGUCUGCCGCCUGGGGAGUACGGGUCGCAGACUGAAACUUAAGGGAAUGGCGGGGGAGCA
rnacentral:rRNA from 1 species